GACGUAGGGGGCCAGCGUUGCUCGGAAUUACUGGGCGUAAAGGGUUCGUAGGCGGUGUGUCAAGUCAGGCGUGGAAGCCCCGGGCUCAACCUGGGAACCGCGCUUGAGACUGGCACGCUAGAGUUCGGGAGAGGAUGGUGGAAUUCCCAGUGUAGAGGUGAAAUUCGUAGAUAUUGGGAAGAACACCGAUGGCGAAGGCAGCCAUCUGGACCGACACUGACGCUGAGGCGCGAAAGCGUGGGGAGCAAACAGG
rnacentral:rRNA from 1 species